rnacentral:rRNA from 1 species
AUUGAACGCUGGCGGCAUGCUUUACACAUGCAAGUCGAACGGCAGCGCGGGCUUCGGCCUGGCGGCGAGUGGCGAACGGGUGAGUAAUACAUCGGAACGUGCCCAGUAGUGGGGGAUAGCUCGGCGAAAGCCGGAUUAAUACCGCAUACGACCUGAGGGUGAAAGCGGGGGAUCUUCGGACCUCGCGCUAUUGGAGCGGCCGAUGGCAGAUUAGCUAGUUGGUGGGGUAAAGGCCUACCAAGGCGACGAUCUGUAGCUGGUCUGAGAGGACGACCAGCCACACUGGGACGAGGACAGGCCCCAGACCCCAACGGAGGGCAGCAGUGGGAAAUUUGGGAAAAGGGCGAAAGCCUGAUCCAGCAAUGCCGCGUGUGUGAUGAAGGCCUUCGGGUUGUAAAGCACUUUUGGCGGGAACGAAAAGGACUGUGCCAAUACCACGGUUCGAUGACGGUACCCGCAGAAUAAGCACCGGCUAACUACGUG